rnacentral:rRNA from 1 species
GACGAGCGCUGGCGGCGUGCUUAACACAUGCAAGUCGAACGGAAAGGCCCUGCUUUUGUGGGGUGCUCGAGUGGCGAACGGGUGAGUAACACGUGAGUAACCUGCCCUUGACUUUGGGAUAACUUCAGGAAACUGGGGCUAAUACCGGAUAGGAGCUCCUGCUGCAUGGUGGGGGUUGGAAAGUUCCGGCGGUUGGGGAUGGACUCGCGGCUUAUCAGCUUGUUGGUGGGGUAGUGGCUUACCAAGGCUUUGACGGGUAGCCGGCCUGAGAGGGUGACCGGCCACAUUGGGACUGAGAUACGGCCCAGACUCCUACGGGAGGCAGCAGUGGGGAAUAUUGCACAAUGGGCGGAAGCCUGAUGCAGCAACGCCGCGUGCGGGAUGACGGCCUUCGGGUUGUAAACCGCUUUCGCCUGUGACGAAGCGUGAGUGACGGUAAUGGGUAAAGAAGCACCGGCUAACUACGUG